rnacentral:tRNA from 1 species
CGGGGUGUAGCUCAGUGGGCUAGAGCGCGUGGUUUGGGACCACGAGGUCGCCCGUUCGAGUCGGGCCACCCCGACCA